AUAGAUAUUGGAGUCAAUCAACACAAGAGCCAGUCUCCUUGUUGGACCAAAGAGAUUAAUCCGUUGUGUAUUAAUUAACACUGAAUAUAUUGCAGGCUUUGAGUGAGAAAGGCUAUGAACUUGUUUCCGGUGGGACUGGAAAUCAUCUAGUUUUGGUGAAUUUGAAGAAAAAGGAACUCUUGCUCUUACUUCAAGGGGAUUUGUUGAGGAGGAUUUCGUUAAGGUUGCAGAGUAUUUUGAUGCAGCUGUGAAUUUGGCUUUGAAGGUUAAGGCAGAGAGCAAAGAUAUCUUUGGGCAACUUUGGGCUAAAAUAUUUUUGCAACUGGUUAAAAAUAAAAAGGUUGAGGAGCAAAAUCUACAAGAUCAAAUGCAAAUGGUUGAAGAGGAUAAAGACAUAGAAAUGUUGCCAAAACCAAAGCCAAAGAAGAAGAAAAAAACUUAUAUAUGAAGAAAGUGUUAUGACUUAGUUAAAAUAUGAUAUUUAUGUGUAUGAUUUUAUAGUACUUGAAA